rnacentral:rRNA from 1 species
UAACCUGCCUGGUAGCGGGGGAUAACUAUUGGAAACGAUAGCUAAUACCGCAUAAUAGUAGAUGUUGCAUGACAUUUGCUUAAAAGGUGCAAUUGCAUCACUACCAGAUGGACCUGCGUUGUAUUAGCUAGUUGGUGAGGUAACGGCUCACCAAGGCAACGAUACAUAGCCGACCUGAGAGGGUGAUCGGCCACACUGGGACUGAGACACGGCCCAG